AUGGCCGGCAGCAUUUACUCCUUGCAUGCAUGCAGAGAGCCGUUAGACGUGCUUCACCUCGCCUCCUCGUCCUUUCUUCUCCCCCGAGUCUUCUUUAUAUUCCUUCCCUUCUCAACGAGAGCCAUUUCCACUUUGCCAUCUCUCUUCAUCAUGGAUCAAGCUCUUGCCACAAAUGUCUUGGAAGAGCCAGCUGCUACAUUUACCUCUGCGUCCGCCGCGCGCGCGUACGCGGCCAUGUCGUCGUCGGUUGUAGCUUCGCAAGCUGCUGAGUUUACCUCCGCGUCCGCGUGCGCGUGCACGUCCAUGUCGUCGUCCGCCGGAUCUUGGCCAGCUGCUGCGUUUAGCUCCGCGUCCGCCGCGUGCGCAUGCGUGGCCAUGUCGACGUCGGACGUAGCUUGGCAAGCUGCGGAGGUUACCUCCGCAUCUGCCGCGUGCGCGUGUGCGUGGACAUCCAUGUCGUCGUCCGCCGAAUCUUGGCCAGCUGCUGAGUUUAGCUCCGCGUCCGCCGCGUUCACGUUCGCCUCUGUGUCCGCCACCAGUGGGUUCGCCCCCACGUCCGGUGAACAUGGCAGGGGUGCCAUCACCAGCAUGCAUGGCGCUAUGAUGGUUGACGCGGCCAGCGCCAAUGUCAAUCGGCUGGUUAAGCUUGACAACGACGACGAUAAGAUCAUCGACUCAGAUGCUGAGACCUUCGAUCCAGAUGCUGAGACCAAAGACGCCGAAGAAGUGGACAUUAACAAAUCUGUAGUGGUGUCACCCAUGCGCAAGUUGAACAAGAUGCCGCAGUGGCAAGGUACACGAUCCUUGCGUGCACUAUCCAGGUGGCUAGAAGAGGACAUCGUUUCUGAUGAGAGCGCGGUCGACGACGAUGACAAGGUAAGCACGGCGUCGACGGCGACAGACCCACUUGCGUGGAUGGAGCACGUGGUGGACGACCCGGAGAAAGACUUUGCAAUUGCACGGGCAAAGCUUUGCACCGGUCUCGCACGCGAUGAGUAG
rnacentral:rRNA from 1 species